GGUCUGUUGGGUCUGUUGUGCCUGUUGGGUCUGUUGUGCCUGUUAGGUCUGUUGUGCUGUUGGGUUUGUUGGGUCUGUUGUGCCUCUUGUGCCUGUUGGGUCUGUUGUGCCUGUUGGGUCUGUUGUGCCUGUUGGGUUUGUUGGGUCUGUUGUGCCUGUUGGGUUUGUUGGGUCUGUUGGGUUUAUUCCAGUAUUAACCCCCCCCCCCGUCAUCCUGUGAGCAAGUUGGACCCCCUUCCUUGACUUUUCAUUGAGGGUGUUACACCCCACAGUUGUUUCGGUCCUUGACAACCUAACAUGAAGUAUUAAGUUUUAGGCAAUAGGCAUUGUCAUGAGAUUCUGGAAUAACUAAUUAAGCGUUGGGGUUUGUUGGGCCAACUGAAAACCCAACGCAAAUACGCUCUUCCUAAAUCGCGACAGGUAUAAUAGACUAAAUUUUGAUCUAGGCAAAAGAAGAACAAAUUCCA